UGAAUUGAGGCCUCUGAGAUGUUCUGUGGCUUCUCCCAGCACAGACCCUGGUGCCUGUGUCUGGGAGGGUGUGGAGUGGGAAAGCAGGCAGAGACGCAGUUUCUUGGACUUUCAUUAAACUUUGGACAAGUAUAACUUUUUGUCUCUGAAAGGGAAUUGGGCCUUCUCCAAGGCUUCCAUGUAACCAAGGCAUUUUCCCACACUGUUUCCCUUCUUCAAUUUGUAGUGUCAAGUCAGCAAGGAAAGUUCCCUCGUUUUAGUUUUCUAGAUCAGAAGAGAGGGAGAGGAAAUUGACUUGAGCUGGAUGGAUUUGGGGUUCUUUUGUUUUUAAACAAUCGGCUAACACAAUAGAAGGAAAAUUUCCAAAAUCACAAA
rnacentral:lncRNA from 1 species